CUUUUCUAACAAAAAUGAUUGCUGAGGAUAUGGUAUUGAUUUGAUAGUUUUGCAGCUGAAAAUGUUUGCUAAUUGGAGAACCAAUUCCAUAUUUGUAUUCCUAGCACAGAAGCAAGAGGCUUCUGAAUUAAGCAUCAAGAGCAAAUGUUUGCUGAAGGAAAAAAAGAAAUCCAAUAAAAAUCCAGGACGUGAUACUGGAUGAAACAGCAAUCUGUCGGCCUUGUUCUGGGCAUUCUAAAACCGCCGUACAAAUGGACAGGUAGAAACUGUCACAGAAAUGAAUAAAAAAUUACUGUUAAUGAAUGCUAGUAGGCAGUUAUGGCUGAGCAAGCUAAUAACAUUUUUCAACUGUGUUUUUCAUCAAAAUAUUCCAUGUGGUUUUAACUAUUGUUCCAGUGGUUAACAAUGAGGUGCAGAACAUUCUGAUGUGUUGCCUUUAUUUUCACAGAAUCGUCUCUCUUUUGGCAGACCAUCGUGAAAGAAGGAACCAAGUAAACAGGAAGAGUAGGCAUUUUACAUAUUUCCCUUUUUAGUUCUUGAAAACCUUAAAAAUUCCAACAAAAUAUCUAAGGAAUGUGAGAGAAAAUCAGUGCCUUUUUAAUUUUCCUGUGGAUAGUUUUAUUAUUUAAUCAGGCUGCACUAACCUUGUGUUAAUACCUUAUACAGAAAUGACAAAUCACAGCUCUUUUUUAUUUCGCAUGUCAUUCAAAUAGCAGAAAGUGUUUGGUGAUCUAUAGGAGCUGAAUACUUGCAAGCUGCAAGUAACUUCUGACAGACUGACACCAGUCACUUCCUUGCAUCUGUUUCCCUCUAUGAUUUUUUUUUUUUUUUUUAAUAAAUUUUCCUCUCCCAGCUCAGAUAUUCUCAUUUCUGAAGAGGUGCCAGCCACUAUCUCAGGUAAUUCCAAUAAGUAUGUGUCUAGAAGUACGAGAAAGAAAAAGAUCUUUAAUAAAUCCCCCAGCAACAAUAUGCUGCCAGCCCGUCAUUUUUACCCCCCAAAAAAUCUGUGGAGCUGUGGGAUGAUUGCUAGAAAGAUAACAUAAAAUAAAGAAGUAUGAAAAAAGAGCACUUGUUUCCUCCAAUGUGUGUGCCCUGUGCCAUUUUAUAUCCCUUUCAUGUCCUUCCCUUCAUCCCUACUGUCUCAUUCCUUUUAUUAAUUGCUCUGCUUUUUUUCCUUCUGCCUUUUCCUGCCUUUCUUUUUCUGCAGAAGUAAAACUUCUACUCUACUAAUUCAUUUUUGCUCAAUCAUUUUUCUUUUCUUCAUUGUCUCUUGACCAUAUAAGUCUCCUUUCCUCUACCCCAGAGAUAGUUUCUCAUUUCUCUUACUUCACUUCUUGUGAUAUGUGUGCCCUUCCUUCUGUAUCUAAUUCUUUCUAUGUCACAUACAUUCUGUCUUACUGACCCCCCUCUGCUCUUUCUUUUCAUGCUCUGCUCUUUCUUUUAAUGUCCUGAUUGACUUCUUUCCUACAGCUUCUACAUAACUCGUCCUGAUUUCAUUCUCUAUGUCUACCACAGUGCACAGCUGGCACAUCCAGCUGUAUCCCUCCUGUUUUAGUUCUCUUGUGUCAUUUCAACUUCUGGACUUCCUCCUUCCUUCCACCAUCUCACUGGGCUGCACCUGUAGCUACUUUUCUGGUUUAUUCUACUCUAAGGGCAUAAAGGAAAAAGAAUUACCUGAAAGCAUGGCCCCUUUCAGAGAAGGGAUGACUUGGUGAUGUGCCGUUGCACUCAGUGUCCUCUCCCUGUCCACCAGAGCAUGUCAGAGGCUGGCUGUGAAGAAUGGAGGAUUCAUGGCUGGUGCCUGCUGUGCUCUGAUUAUUCUGUACUUCCCAGAGCUGCAAGAAGCAGGGCAUAAUUAGAUCGGCAACGAAGCUUUUUACAGUUUGGAAUCAUGUUAGUCCCACUGAUGGUUUUAUAUAGUGAAAGGUUGAUUUUAUUCAGAAAGACAGUUCUUGAAUUCCAGUAUGCGAAUCAUAAAUUGUAAGCCCUAGCUUACGCUCACUACAAAAUAAUGAUGUGGGCUGUUUUUUCCCUUAGGUUUUAACUUGGAUGACUAAUAGGUUAAUCCUUACAUGUUCAAGCCUUCUUCUAAUCUGUGAAGGUCCAAGGCCUAAAUCUAGAAGCCUUUGACAGUGAUGGACUGUUAGAUAGGAUGGCUGCAUCUGUACCAGCCUGUGAGCACUCUUGUUCAUGCUGUUAAAUCGUUAAUUACUGGACAAUUUUUGGCUCAUGGCAACUUAAUUAGCAUCUACUCAAUGCCUGACCACAAUCUGUGGAUUAGCAUAGACCAGGAGCCAGCCCCAGUAGACAUUUGGGAUAGGACUUCCCUGUUUUGGGGAUAGAAUUUAGCUCAGUGGAAACAAGCUGUGGCUGUUCGUUGGCCCAAGGGCCUGAAAAUGAUUUGGGUUUUUUUUGUUUACUAAUGUAUGAGGCAAAUCUAAUCUCUUGGUUUCUUAUUUUUUCAUUUUAUUGCUCAUAUGUGUAACAGCAGAUGUAAUUAUUUAUACCAAAGGUCAUUUUAACUCAGUGUCAUCUCUCCAGUAGUAACUUCCUGUGAUAUUGAUAACAAGUGUAAAUGACAUGGUCCCCCAAAAAAACAGUAUAAUGGUGGUCUUCUCCAACUAAUUUCCUGAUCUUUUCAGCUUGUGUGGAUUUCCUGUAUGCACAAUAUCCUUUGUCAAGAUUUACCAUCAGCUGUUAUGUAGAGAAUCACCUCCUUUUUUGCUUCAUUGAGUUUAGCUUCUGAUUUCAGCCUUUAGAGCUUGUGUGCAAGAAGCAAUAAAAGGCUCACUGCUAUCCUUAAUCUGUCAUUUAUAAAUGUGUUGAGGAGUGCAGAUCUUAGUGCAGACUGCUGGGGUUGUCCACUGCUUAUCUCUCACCCUUGUAAUAGCUGAUCAUUUGUGCUUUUACCCUCUCUUGUCCUUUUACCAGGAGAUAUGGAUUUUUUCUUUGGGUUUCACUCAGUACUGAUACUGUGAAAAGUAAUGUACUGUUUUUAAUCUAGUCCAAGUUGUGUAGCACCCUAUGGACUUCAAUUCAGGCAAAUAGUUCAAAAUGGUCUUUUUGUGCCUGAAAUUCCAGACUGGCAGAAAUGAAUUUGAAUAUGUCAGUAGCAACAGUAUCUUACUAAUAGUUGUACCGAUUCUUCACUCACUUCCCUUCACUAGUAUAGUAUGUGAAUCUAUUAUUAAUGUUACUUGUGAGCUUUGUUAAAUUGGUAAAAUGAGCUGCACUCAACAUAAUUGGAACAUGUUUUGUUAUAUACCAACCAUUUCUGUUCCUUUCUGUAGUAACUGUGAAUGUGUAAAUGUCUUUCUUUCUUUUGUUAAUUUACUUCAGAACUAAUAACUAUUAACAAGGGAAGGAUUUUUUUAAAAUCUUUGUAUGAAAUUUGAUGUUUUGUGUCUGUUCUCUCCUGUCCACUGUUUCUUUCUUCUGCCUUAGAAAUGGGAAAGGCCUCCCAGAGUCAAAGAGCACUUUCCUGUGCACUUCUAUGGGCAAGUCAGAAAUAGAUCCCAUAUGAUUAGGUACUGAAAUUAGGAGCUCAGUUUUUUUGCUAGGAUAAUGUUAAUGUUUAGUAUGUCUUCAGGUUUCAUUUUUUGUGAGCAUUACCAGUUUUCCAGAUGCUCGAUCCAGCACUAUUUUUAAAAUCAGUUCCAGUUAACUCUGCAGUUUAACAAGGAAUAUUUCUGUCUUUAUGAGAUGUACGUGUGUGCGCUGUGUGCUUGUCAUUGACCCAUCUCCUUCACCUUUUGCUGCAGAAAGAUAAAUUAUACAGGCUAUUUAUUUUAUUUAGAAGUUAGUAUUGGAUGUGUUUUGCUAAACCUUGAGUUCUACAUGUCUGAAGAGUUCAAAGUUCAAGAUGACAGUGUAAAUCUCAAUGCAUUUUCUCAGCAGUGAUUUGAAUUUUCUAUAUUCUUUAAGUACUGUUUAUUCUCAGAGAAGAUUCCCAUCUGAUUUUGCAUUUGUAUUAAUUAAUGUUUGAGGCUGAAAACAGUUGUAGACUGCUAACAUACAAAGUAAGUAGAAAAUUAUGGCAUUUUCCCAGAACAAUUAAAGUGUUAGACAUUUAUCUUGAUCAGUGAAUCUUAAAUCAGUUUUUAAUUUCUGUAAGUAUAUUUCAGAGCACUCUGGUUACAAGGCUGUGGAUGACAAGUCUUUAUUCUAAUCUCAGCUCUGUCUCUAUUUUACUAUCGAGAACAAAUUUCUAACUUCUCCACAACCAUCUUUUGAGUUAUAAUGACAGGCCUAUCAGUUUUUCUCGUAGGAGAUAAGAAACCUUAGCCACAUGGAUUUUUUUUUUUUUGUAACAAGAAAUCAUAUGGUCAUUUGAAAAUAUUUUGUUUCCACUCAGUGAAAAUAACAUAAUUCUGAGACUUCAUGACUGUUAGAGUACAGGUUCUUCAUACAUAGGGCUACUUGAACCUUUGUGGUCAGUGUGUAAUGAACCUGCACAUCGUUACAAUCUGAUCAGGCAAUAUCCAUAAACAAGAGGAAAGCUCAGUAAGAAUAAUUUGAACAUUCAUUUUCCUAACAAUUACUUAGAAUCAAAUUACAGUUUUAGGAGAGAUGUGUUAUGGUGAAGGAGUCAAAAAUAUGAGGCUAAAUUAUCUCUCAGCAAAGCACAAGAUGAUUGUGCUAUGAUAUGUAUAUAUUCUUGUAUUUAAGUAUAUUUACUUUAUUUAAGUAUAUGUGAAUAUAUGAUUAUAUACUUACAUACUUAUAGAUACAUUGUUUUUACUUAAAAAAAUAAUAAUAAAUUUGUUGCUUUUGUCGUAACAAUAACAAGAGAUUAUCAAACCUGAUAAUUCCCUACUAAGAUCCACAAAACAUUAGAACACCAUUCAGCAUGCACUGUGAUAAUUUGCCAAAUGAGUACCAAAGUGUAUCUAUAGAUCUCAUUUUUAAAUGGCCAAAUACAUUUUGUAUUUUUACCUUGGCACUUCUAAUUGGUUAAAAGUCUCUGAAAUUCAGCAUUCUGAAAUUUCUGUUGAAAUAAAUAUUAUUUAAACUAAUUCUUACAGUACGUGAGGGUAGAGAUUACAGAGAUUUGAGAUUCCUGUGGUUUCUAAAUGCUGGUACUCUAUGCUUUAUUUUACACUUAUUGUGUCAACAACUUUAUCUGGAGAGGAAAUGGGCUAAAAUAUUUAUUUUGAAUAGAUUAAUUCUGUUACUGAUUUUAAAUAUUUUUUACAUAUAAGCUUGGAAUUGUUUCCUUUGUAGCUUCAGAAUCCACUUUGAGAUGCUGGUUGAGUAAGAUAUUUCCAUUCAUAUUGCUUGUUAAGUUAGCAAGCAUUUAAAUGUGAUUAAAAAGAGUAAUUGCUUAACUUAGUAAAUCUAUGUAAAGUCUCUAAGACCGUGUCAGAGCUAAUCAUGACAAAGUAUCUUUAUAAUUCACUGCGUUUGGAUUUUAAAUAAUCUAUUACUGUUUAUAAUCUCAUACGUAUUUAAGAAAGAAGUUAAUUUGCUAAGAGAGCAUGUUUAAAUAACAUUCUAGAUGUAACAGCAACAGAACAAAAGUGAUGAAGUAGAGAAGUAAGGCUCACACAUCAUUUUAAACUGUUUUACAAUAAAUUCUAGAGAGCUUUCUGAUCACGUUCCAAUUACAAAUGAGAUACUGAAGCAGUGCAUGGAAAAUGAGUUAAGGAAAAGGCUGAUAUUAAGUCUUGUUUUUUGUUUUUUUUUUCUCUCAUCAGUUUUAUCAUAAUAUUUGUAAAGAUUUUUUUUUCUUUCAAAUUAAUAGUCUUAAUUUUUUUUUAUAAAAUUGCGUUAAAUUUAAGCUCUGUUUACAUACAGUGGCAGUGAAAGUAUUGGUCUGCCUUCAUGCUAGAUGCUGCUAAAUGAAGUGACCUCCUUUCAGUGGAUUAGCAAUUUAUUUCACUAUUGAAGAACUAGCAUUACCUCCUGAUCUUGAAAUUCAAUUAGUAUUUUUCUUUUCUUAAUCUAGACUAUAGUUUAGCAGAAUUUACUUUCUCUUGAAACAAAUGAUCUGCAGUUUCAACUGUGUUCUCUAGUAAGAAGUCAGUAGAAUAUUUAAUGCUUUAUUUUCCAAAGUACUUCAGACUUUUUAGUUGUAAAAGUAAUAAUUUUCUGAUCUAAAGUCACAGGAAAAGGACAAUUAAGAACUAGGUCUGAGAAAUGUUAAACAUCAACUUCAUCCAAAUAUAAUAAACUUUUAAUGCAUAUUUUCUCUCAUCUUUUUUUUUUUUUUAAUUACUGCUAUGUAAAAUAUGAAUAAUGCAGAAAAUAAAAAUGAAUUUAUAGAAUUACCUUUUUACUUUAGUAAAGAAAAGCAUCCAAAUAUUGUUUUUUAUGAAGGGGAUAAUUAUUUUCAAAUUAUUUUACCACCUAAUGAACAGAUGCUUCUGCUCAUAUUUCUGCCAUGAAUUCAUGGGAGUUGAGAUAGUUGUUCCUUUAAUAAAACUUAAAGCUUUUGAGAAGUACCAUCAGCAAUCAGUUUUUUUCUUCAUUUCACUCUAUAUCAGGUCUAUAUCAGGUUCUCAAGUGCCAACUAGCAGUGUCACAGAAGCUACUUGUUUCUAAGCUGUGCUUAAUAGAAGCCCAUUUCUUGUUACAGCAUCUCCUGGAAAAGAAGGAAGCUGUGGGGAGUGCCCCUUUUUAUUUCCAGCACACAGAAUGGCAGUGGUCUGAAGAGGAAAUGAAACCUAGGAGAUGGGAGAACAUUGGAAUCAUAGAGCACAGAUGCUCCAUUGAAAAAAAAAAUGCUGUUAUUUUUGAAAUAGAGUUAACUGUACAGCCCAGCCCCCACCAGAUCCCAGUAACCUCAAAGAACUAACGGUUCAGAAACAUAAUUUCUUUUCCAAAGUGCUCUCCAAAAUUUUUCUUUCAUUUAUAUCCAUCUCAUAGGCCCUUGGCUGAUAAAGUGGUUUGAAUCUUCAAGCUUGAAUAGCCUGUGUAUAUCAAAGGAAUGGGAAAACAUAUGUACCCAUAUAAAAUUAGGGGGCAUCAUCUCUCUUUUGUGCUGAAUUGAUGUCAUCUAGCCAGCACCAGAUGGAGGAGAACCAUAAAUCCAUUCCUGGCUCACUCAAAAAAAAAUGUCUCCAGUCACAUUUUGUUUGAAAUUCCAGGUCCUUCUCUUAGUCCUACUCCCUUGGUCUUUGUCCAAGCAACAUAACGUAUGAGAGGGUCAGUGUCCUCUUUGGCUUAAGCUGAAAUCAUUUGUUUAGGCAGCUUUUCCUAACCAGCACUGAAACCUGCUACUCCGGCUUAUUUUUGCAAUUAGCAAUUUGGCAACUUCUUUUAUCUAAAGAUGCCACAGAUGCUGCAAACUCAUUUAAUCAAAAUUGAAGAUUCAUUUUCUUUGUGCUUUGAACCACUGAUGUGUCAUCUCAGUCCUUUACUGCUUGUCCUGUGAGUAUAACACCAGAUGAUAACAAACAUUUACCAAUUUCAGUUUACACUGUAUAUUCUUAUAGUUCCUGCUUUAAAAUUUGGACAGGUACCAGACAGCUAAUAUAUUUUUUGUAAUUGAAAUCUUCAUGCUCUUCAUGAUCUUCCAAAGAUACAUUUCAAUUCUGUUUUUUAAUAGUUUGUAGCAUCUUAACGAUUUAUGCUACUCAUUGUACAGGUUUUAAAGUGAUCUCCAAAAUAUUUGCUACCCUGAAUAAGAAUCAUAUAAGAAUCAUUCAGUGACAACAGACAGGAAGCACUCUCAGAUGAUGCUACAAGAAUUAUUUGGGAGAUUUGGCAGUCAAUACUCACUGUAACUAUGAGCAAACCAGUUUGUACAGGAAAAAAAAAAAAAACUCUAAAGUACUGUGGCUUUCCUUUUAACCACAUCUUUAUUUCAUAAUCAGGUCUUUAUACUGUGAACAAUUUAGAAUGUCUAUAUUGAUUAAACCGUAGGAGUCUUCACUUUAAAUUCUAUCUGGUAUUCUGCAAACUAUAAUGAACAUUACCGAAUGCAUGGCAUCUUCUGGGAAACACCUUGAGAUUAUCAAGUUUAAUUUCCCCUAGGAAGUUCUUACAGCAGUGCAAUCAAGCUAACUUUUACUCUCUGUAAUGGAGUAAGAUUUAAUCUACAAUUUUCCAGCAACCACCAUUUCCUUAUUUUUUCUUCUUCAAAAACAGCUGAAGAAUGAAGUUUUGUUUUGUUUUUAGGUUACUCUAUACUUUUUUCUGUAGUGCACCAUAAUGAAUAUCCUAUCCUUUUUUUAGUAUGCUGAAUGAGUAGAAGCAGCUGAAACCCUACGGUUGGUAAGGAAUUUAUGUAAAUAUUGCAAUUAAAUCUUGUCUGUAAUAAUAGGUGACCUUUAAUCUAGUUUAUAUUAAGUCCCCUAAUCUCUCAGAUUCUAAUUGAGUGAUGAAGAUGCAAGGCUUCAUGAAAGGAAAGCAGAUCACAAGAAAAUAAUGAUUUUUUUUGUGUAAACCAUGAUUUUCCAAUUACUCCUCUCAGCUGGGACAGAAAAAACAUCUAACUUGUGAUAUGUUCUGAUCCAAAAUUAAUCCUUUUGUAACUGUGUGUCUUUAGAUUAAAGGUUACUUUGGCUUUCUUCCAUGCAAAUUUUCAGCCCUUUUGGUAAUAUUAAUACUAGCUUUUUUUUCCCCCAAAACAUUAUUAAAACAUAUUGGUAAGUAAUGCUUUCAAUAAUGCAGAGAAAAACCCAGAUAAAUAAUAAUUAAAAUAGCAUGCAAGCUUUCUUUAUUCAACUUACGAGGUAAAUAUCCAUUUGUUAUAAUAAAUUCUUUUAAAAUAUGUGAAAACAGUUGUGGCAUAAGGAGGGAGUUACGGUUUUGACUACAUGAUGUGUGUAAAGCAAACUUGGGAUAAGAUUUGAGUGGCAAGAAAUUCCAGGCAAAUAUGGGUAGAGACAUUUGCUGCACCUUUGCAUCACAGAGAAGAAUCGCAAAAGAUUGGAUAUGCUUGCAGUGUCUGUGUAUGUGCCAUUAGGAUCAUGCAAGAAAGCUGUGAAGUGUCGCAGAGAUCUUGUUUGUACAGUGGUUUGAAAUGUAAUGAUAACAAGUGCUUUAUGCUGCACUAGGGUUACCUUUGUAUGUUAAAGGUGUAAUUUUUUCUGUUUCACAAGGAAGCUAAAUUCAGCCUCGCAGUGAAGACAAAGAGCUUGUAUUUCAUAUGGCAGAAACAGAAAUCGGCGCACAAGGGAAAGGUCACAUUUGGUGUGACAGUCUUGAAAAAGAAAAGGGUUUUGCAGAAGCCAAUCUGCGUAGGACACAGACAUAUUUGCCAAAACUAGAUAGGAGAGUACUUCGAAAUGUCAAAGAGAAGCACUGAAACUUCAGUUUGAACAGAUGAAGAUGGAUCCCAAGAAGAAUGUAAAAACAGGACUGUUCAGCUUAGACAUGAUGGCUAAAUUUGUGAUUUUCCUGUGAAAAUAGGAAAUUCCUAGGAAAAUAGGAAAUCCUUGCAGAGUCCUUGAAGCUUCAGGAAAAGCAAGAGAGUAGACAAAAUAUCAAAAGGGAGAAGAUUUUAAGUAAAUGGUAGGCCAGUUGCUGUUUAAGAGGGCUGUUAGAUGGACAGGGAGCAGAUAAAGAAUACAUUCUCCACAUCUACUUCAAAGAGACCAUUAGAAAUUUUGAUUGGUUUCACUGGAGUGAAAGGGGUGGGUAUCUGGACUGAAAGAGAGAUCAGAAGAUAGAUUGUAAAUAAAAUCUUCAAUGAGUACAGAAAUGAGACAGAUAAGAAUUGGAAAAAAUAACUGAAAACUUGAGUGUAGCAAAGUGUGGGUUUUUGUUAAAGAUGAGUAAACGACAUUUUUCCUGUGGAGCAAAUGUGAAAGAGCUACAAGAAAGUAAAGAUUUAAAGAGAGGCUACUUUUUGCAGUUUUCCAUAUUGACAUUAUACAGAGAGAAACUGAAGCAGAAAUAAAGAAGCUAUCGAGAAAACAGUCAGAAGCUGUGGGAAGGUUAAUGGGUUUACAAGCAUGGGAUUAAAAAGAAGAGUUGUUAAUAUCUGUUUAGAGAAGUGGCAGAAACUAAAAAGAACGAAUCCCUAGUUUCUGCAGUAGUGAUGAGACUACUAAAGUAGUUGUGGGAAGUCAUUGACAGCGGAGUUCAAGAUGACAACAGGAGCUGAAUGACACAGACGUUGCUCCAGAAGGUGUGGGAAGAAGGAGACUCAUCUGCAGGAGAUGGCAGUUCAAUAGGCAGAGAUUGUGCUUGUUUGCUGAGUGAUUAAACUUCUUUUUUUCCCUAAAGCACUACAGAAAUGUUCCAUCAGGAAAUCUCCCUCAUGCAGAACAUGGUGCCUCUGUGAACACAGUCCAGAAGAGUUUGCUUACUUACUUGCACUUCUUAAUUACUUUUUUUCCUAAAAAUAGUCACUUUCAUACUCUCCAAUUCUUGUAGCUGUUUGCUAAAAAUAAAAGGACCUGAUGGUGAGUACAAGUUUCAUAAAUGCAAAUACAGCUUUGCAGUACAAAUUAAAAAUGUGGCUUGAAUUAAAAUCAUUGAUAGUUUGUAGGUUGUUCAUGUUGCUUUUGUAGACCCCUAAUCACUUGAGGUAUGUCUAAGCUUUUUGGCUGAUACUUAGUGCAUUCAAAUCAGCAAAUUAAUCUCUUGGGUACAGAGCAACUCAGUGUACCUUAAGUCACAGUGCAUAAAGUUACUUUUGUUGCUAUCUACAGAUUGUCUUGACAUGCAGCAUAUACCCACAGGUUCAGAAAAAUUGCCCUUUGAUUACAUGUACAAUAAUCUGGAUCUCCCAAGGUAUUCAAGUGGUUAAUUAAAUAUCAAGUAAUUGCUAAAACUACUAAGUGACAUUUAAUUAGUAUGUUAAUUGAUAUCAAAUUUGCUCUCACUAUCUUGUUUUAUGUUAAUAAAAUCCCUAAACAUUUCUUCGAAGUAGAUUAGGAAGCAAUGUGCUUCAAAUAUACUAAUUCAAAACAGCCUUAAGCAUUACUUCUGCUCACAGAACAUACUUUCUGACUUAAAUUUUUAUCACAGAUGUUUUAUUUUGUCUAUCUUUAAACUUACUUUUUGCUAAGAGUGCAUUAUAUCUAGUAGCGUAGACCUCUCUUGGAAUGGAUUUUAGCUUUUAUAAGCUCAUAAUCCCUUAGAAUUCUAUCUGAAGUGUGAUAACUGUUAAUAGAAGUCUAGGGCUGCGUCUCUCCCCUUUGGCACCUACCGAGUAGAGAUAGCCAGGUGCUAUGGGGACUGCAUAGUCCCUCCAGUUGGCUAAUGUGAAUGAUGUAUUUCUGUGCUGACAUCUGAUCUGGGGUUUAGAAAUCUGUGCUCCACACAUAAUACAAAACCACCAUAAAUGUAUUAAGUGCCUGAUUAUUCUGCAGCAGUGAAAUUUUGCCGUAGUGGUAGCUUGCAGGGUGUUCCCCUCCUCCUCUUCAUUAUCCUACCCAGGAAACAGCCCUGCUGUAGCUUUCACACUGAGCAUUCCAAAAUUCUCUUUGCUUUCCUUUGCUGAAGAGACCAACAGUGAUGUAGAAAAGAGAUGCCUUUAGGCUUGGGUCCAGAAAAGACUGGCUGGAGUCCAAGCUGACAAUAGCCCCAAGCCUGUCCUUCCUUUCAACCACCACAGUGCUCCCUGUGGCCUCAUCAGAAACAGGUGAGCAGUCCAAAGUUGAAGCUAGUAAGGAAGAGGUUGUUUUCACAAUGGUUAAUUUGAACACACACUGCAAAAUAUUUCCAUGAAUAUUCAUAUGAAUAUUUAAAUGAAUUCCUUUCAGCUGUGCUCAUGCCUUUUGUGUGUUAGUUUUCUGUGGAGUUCCUUUUCCGUUUUAUUGGUGCCAAUGCACAGAGAGAGUUGGUUUUACAUACAAGAUCACAAAAAGCAAAGUUUAAUUUAUUCUCCCUGAGCAUUCACACCCAAUUACUUCAGAAGAGUCCAACUGGGAAGUAGAAACAAUGGUGUAUGACCACACAUGACUGAACUGCAUAGCUCAGAUUCCAGUCCUUCCCAACUUCAAAAUCUAGGAUAUCUGUAUAAACUAUAAAAACACCAUAAACACUGUGAAGGGGAAGCAGGUUGAGGAGGGACUGUCAGAGAAUUUUAAAUUAUGAAUAAAGAAAAGUGUGAUCUGUUUAUUCAUGGAUAUGUCACAGAAAAAAAGACAGAAAAUUGGUAAAAUAAAUUAUUCAUUAAAAAGUAUUCAGCUGUAGUUAUGUGUCAUCCAAAUACUGUUAUAGAAUGAAGAAUACUGCAGAAUGAUAAUGAUAGGUGGAAGUUGACAGUGAUUUUCAACUUUUUUUGUUGAUUUAUUUGAACUUCUGUGCUUUCUUAUGUGUGGUGUAUCUAAAUUUCAUAGCUUCGCACAAUUUUUUGAAGUUUUCUGUUUUUCUGAACAUAUUAUAAUAAUCCACGUUUACUAAUACAAAAAGUUUGCUAUCGAUAGCAUGUUAUUUUAAAUCUUUUAUAAUACAAAGUGAAUUUGUUGCUGCUAUUUGUAUUUUAAGUAGCCUACCACUUGAUAAAGAAAAGUCAAAAUUGACACAUUUGUUAAAAAAUAAUCUUCAGAUAAACUUUUCAUAGGUAUAAGUAUUGGUACCCGAGCUUCCUUUCUACCUUCUCCACUGGCACUCUCAACCAGUGUUAACAUGCCUAAAUGUCUGGUCAUGGUCCUUAUCACCAGCAAAGGUUCUCUAAACUCCCAAAAAUCUGCCUCCCAUCUCAUAUGAUUCAAUGCCCUGAGCCCAUCUUCAAGUCCAGUUCCAACUGGAGUCUCUGACCACCCUCUCCCUGCCUCCAUGUUUCCUGAGCACCAAAGGGAGGCAGUGCAUUGAAAUAUACCAUGCCUCUUCCCUUUCAUAUGAAGCAGUUCCAAGUCACUUUCAAAUCAUUAAGCAAAUGACUGUAUUCUGAAUGCCCCAUAGGAAUUCAGUGGAAACUACUGCCUGACACAAAAUCAAGAUGCAGCUUAUCAGCCGCUUACUGCAACACAGCAGCUCUGCUCCCACUGCGCCACUGGGAACGCCAAAACAAAUCCCACUGAUCUAUGUGAUGGGUAGUCCAUUGCCUUCAGGCAUGAAUCUUAAGCUCUUACCUCAUUAUGGCAAGAUGCACAGGUAGCAAUGUGCAGAUAGUGUCAGGACCUUCUUGCUCCCUCACUGGCCAGAUCUAUGGCUACUGUUCUUCACCCUUCAAUUAUUUUACAGUUGUGAUUUUUCCAUGCUAAUAAUUACCAAACCUUAUUGGAUCCUUUUUACCUCUACAUGCAGUCAUGCUAUCUAGUCAUUCAAAACUGAAUUAAUGCUUUAUUUUUAUGGUUUAUGUACAUCCUUAAGGAUAUCAAAAGAAAGAAGUAUGUUGGCAUGAAAACCUGGUACCAAAAGGACAUUUACAUUCCCUGACUGGCAGAGAUGCGAAAUACAUUGCAGAUCAUUCAACUAAUUAAGAAGCGGUUCAUUUUCUUUUAAGUCCAGUAAGAGGGAGCAACCUGAAUUGAUGCAUUAAGGGAAAAGAGAAGUAUGAUAUAAACACAGUUUGCACCUGGAAACCAUGCUUACUAUGCUCUGCAUUGCCCACAGUGGGAGAAUAAUGCAAGCUCACCUGGUCUCUUCCUCACCUUCUGCAGCAGGAAUGGUGCUAUCCCCCCAAACAUGGAAAAGAAAACUAUGAAAGACAUGCCGUGUUGGAGUUUUCUUCUAAAUGCUUAACUUCAGAAUUUUGCUUAUCUGCUACUGAAGUGCUAAUUCACUGGGAACUCUCCAUAGUAGUAUCAGUCUUAUGUAUUUACCUAUGAAGUUCUUCUAACAGAUGAAUUGUUUACUCAUAAACCUUCAAUUUCCAAUUCACUUAUUUAAAGUGAGAUUCUUCUUACAGAAUAAAUUCUGGAUCAUGGCUUUAAUUUAAUUUAUUCCUAAGUAACACAGAGCAGAACUUCAUUUUAUAGAGGAUGGAAAAAAAUAUUAUACUGCAUUUCCAUCUACAAAUUUUACUUUGUAUUAUUACAACAGUUUAGGAACUUAUGAUAUAUACAGUUUAAUAUUUUCUAUAUUAAAGCAAUCUCACAUAAAAUAACCAUUGUUACUGUUUAUUUUCUUACUUCUUACAGUGAUUUCUAUUCCAAAAUUAAUGAAGAGGAACUUUGGGUUUUGGUUUGUUGGUUACUUUUUGUUUGUUUGGGUUUUAAGUUGAAUUGUGUAUAUUUAAUAAAUGAGCAUCUUCUCUUGUCACAUUCUUGGUUUUUUUAAAACCACUAUUUUGGUAUACAAUCCCGAUCCCAAAAAUUUAUGUUACAUUAACAUGGAUUGUAUUUAGUGGAAAUAAAAGAUGUGAAUCC